UACGUAGGGAGCAAGCGUUGUCCGGAAUCAUUGGGCGUAAAGCGCGCGUAGGUGGCUUCGUAAGUCCGUUGUGAAAGUCAAAGGCUCAACCUUUGAAAGCCGAUGGAUACUGCGGAGCUAGAGUACGGAAGAGGCGAGUGGAAUUCCUGGUGUAGCGGUGGAAUGCGCAGAUAUCAGGAGGAACACCAAUAGCGAAGGCAGCUCGCUGGGACGUUACUGACACUGAGGCCCGAAAGCGUGGGGAGCGAACAGG
rnacentral:rRNA from 1 species